rnacentral:rRNA from 1 species
UGGGGAAUAUUGGACAAUGGACCAAGAGUCUGAUCCAGCAAUUCUGUGUGCACGAUGAAGUUUUUCGGAAUGUAAAGUGCUUUCAGUUGGGAAGAAAAAAAUGACGGUACCAACAGAAGAAGUGACGGCUAAAUACGUGCCAGCAGCCGCGGUAAUACGUAUGUCACGAGCGUUAUCCGGAUUUAUUGGGCGUAAAGCGCGUCUAGGUGGUUAUGUAAGUCUGAUGUGAAAAUGCAGGGCUCAACUCUGGAUUGCGUUGGAAACUGUAUAACUAGAGUACUGGAGAGGUAAGCGGAACUACAAGUGUAGAGGUGAAAUUCGUAGAUAUUUGUAGGAAUGCCGAUGGGGAAGCCAGCUUACUGGACAGAUACUGACGCUGAAGCGCGAAAGCGUGGGUAGCAAACAGGAUUAGAUACCCUGGUAGUCCACGCCGUAAACGAUGAUUACUAGGUGUUGGGGGUCGAAUCUCAGCGCCCAAGCAAACGCGAUAAGUAAUCCGCCUGGGGAGUACGUACGCAAGUAUG